rnacentral:rRNA from 1 species
UAUGUGUGUGCCAGCCGCCGCGAUAAUACGGAGGAUGCGAGCGUUAUCCGGAUUUAUUGGGUUUAAAGGGAGCGCAGACGGGAGAUUAAGUCAGUUGUGAAAGUUUGCGGCUCAACCGUAAAAUUGCAGUUGAUACUGGUUUCCUUGAGUGCAGUUGAGGCAGGCGGAAUUCGUGGUGUAGCGGUGAAAUGCUUAGAUAUCACGAAGAACCCCGAUUGCGAAGGCAGCUUGCUAAACUGUAACUGACGUUCAUGCUCGAAAGUGUGGGUAUCAAACAGG